GGGGAAUUAGCUCAGUGGUAGAGCGCUUGCUUAGCACUAUUGAUUGCAUGAGGCCGUGGGUUCAAUUCCCACAUUCUCCA
rnacentral:tRNA from 1 species